rnacentral:rRNA from 1 species
AUUGAACGCUGGCGGCAGGCCUAACACAUGCAAGUCGAGCGGAUGAAGGGAGCUUGCUCCUGGAUUCAGCGGCGGACGGGUGAGUAAUGCCUAGGAAUCUGCCUGGUAGUGGGGGAUAACGUCCGGAAACGGGCGCUAAUACCGCAUACGUCCUGAGGGAGAAAGUGGGGGAUCUUCGGACCUCACGCUAUCAGAUGAGCCUAGGUCGGAUUAGCUAGUUGGUGGGGUAAAGGCCUACCAAGGCGACGAUCCGUAACUGGUCUGAGAGGAUGAUCAGUCACACUGGAACUGAGACACGGUCCAGACUCCUACGGGAGGCAGCAGUGGGGAAUAUUGGACAAUGGGCGAAAGCCUGAUCCAGCCAUGCCGCGUGUGUGAAGAAGGUCUUCGGAUUGUAAAGCACUGUAAGUUGGGAGGAAGGGCAGUAAGUUAAUACCUGGCUGUUUUGACGUUACCAACAGAAUAAGCACCGGCUAACUACGUG